rnacentral:rRNA from 1 species
GACGAACGCUGGCGGCGUGCUUAACACAUGCAAGUCGAACGGAAAGGCCCUGCUUUUGUGGGGUGCUCGAGUGGCGAACGGGUGAGUAACACGUGAGUCACCUGCCCUUGACUUUGGGAUAACUUCAGGAAACUGGGGCUAAUACCGGAUAGGAGCUCCUGCUGCAUGGUGGGGGUUGGAACGUUUCGGCGGUUGGGGAUGGACUCGCGGCUUAUCAGCUUGUUGGUGGGGUAGUGGCUAACCAAGGCUUUGACGGGUAGCCGGCCUGAGAGGGUGACCGGCCACAUUAGGACUGAGAUACGGCGCAGACUCCUACGGGAGGCAGCAGUCGGGAAUAUUGCACAAUGGGGGGAAGCCUGAUGCAGCAACGCCGCGUGCGGGAUGACGGCCUUCGGGUUGUAAACCGCUUUCGCCUGUGACGAAGCGUGAGUGACGGUAAUGGGUAAAGAAGCACCGGCUAACUACGUG